GGUUUCGUAGCUCAGCUAGUAGAGCACUGGCAGCGUUUGACCAUGCUGUUUCUGUCGCUGGUUCGAAUCCAGCCGAAGCCC